CCUACGGGCGGCAGCAGUAGGGAAUCUUUCACAAUGGGCGAAAGCCUGAUGGAGCAACGCCGCGUGCAGGAUGAAGGCCUUCGGGUUGUAAACUGCUUUUAUAAGCGAGAAAUAUGAUGGUAACUUAUGAAUAAGGAUCGGCUAACUACGUGCCAGCAGCCGCGGUCAUACGUAGGAUCCGAGCAUUAUCCGGAGUGACUGGGUGUAAAGAGUUGCGUAGGUUGCAUAAUAAGUAGCUAGUGAAAUCUGGUGGCUCAACCAUUCAGACUAUUAGCUAAACUGUUAAGCUCGAGACCGUUAGGGGUAACUGGAAUUUCUAGUGUAGGAGUGAAAUCCGUAGAUAUUAGAAGGAACACCAAUAGCGUAGGCAGGUUGCUGGGACGGUUCUGACACGAAGGCACGAAAGCGUAGGGAGCAAACGGGAUUAGAUACCCCGGUAGUC
rnacentral:rRNA from 1 species